UCGGACGUGGUGUAGUGCAACACGGCUUCUUUCUGUGGUGGCAAUACACACAGACGCGGGAGGCAAUACCGGGUUCGAGUCCCGGCGUCCGAA